rnacentral:lncRNA from 1 species
AGUUUGUAUAGAAGCAUGAGAUAGGGCAGGUAGGACACAAGGGGAGGAGGAGUGACAGGAAAGUUUUAGUUGAUUAAGAAAGGUGCCCAUAGAACAGCUCAAAGGGGCUAAGUCCUGAGGGGGCUCUAGGGGUUGCCCAAAUUUGGGUGAGGGCUAAUGGCAAAAGAUUGGGCCAGGACAGUCUGAGUUCAAUAGCAAGUUUAGUGAGAUGAUCCUUGAGAAUGCCAUUAGGCCUCUCAACCUUACCCGAGGAUUGGGGUCAGUGGGGGAUGUGGAGCCUCCAAGUGAUGUUAAGGCCUUUGGAAACUAGUUAAACAAUCCGAGAAGUGAAGGCUGGACCGUUCUCUUACUGGAUGGAGACAGGAAGUUCGAACCUAGGAAUGAUCUGCUCAAUGAGGAUGGAGGCGACAGUGUUAGCAGUUUUCCUGGAGGUAGGGAAGGCUUCUAUCCAACUGUAAGAGAGUGCUAUCCUCAAAUUACAAAUAGUUAAAUCCUGUGUCAAGGCCUGACCAAAAUGGUAGGGACUGUCCCUGAAGCCUUGGGGUAGGCCUGUCCAUAUCAGCUGUUGAAACCUAAAGAAUGUAAGGUCUUCCCAUGUGAAGGCAAAGAAGUCCGAAUGGAGAUGUCUCAGACCUAGGGAUCAACUAGAUCAGGGGUCAGUGGCACAGUAGGUACUGUCAGGUCAUUAGAGAGGGUAAGAGUUAAAGGCUGAAGGAGAUGGGUGGUAGUAUUCUUGGGGUGUAAUUGGAGGGUGGCUCCUAAUAAUUGGAGAACAUCUCUGCCUAGGAGAGGAACUGGACAGGAUGGAAUGACCAGAAUAGUGAGUGAAUGGGUGUCUCUCUGGGGCACAGGCCAGCUUUACAGUUCUGUUUGGGGAAAAGGGAUUGUCA